UACGAAGGGGGCGAGCGUUGUUCGGAUUUACUGGGCGUAAAGGGCGCGCAGGCGGCUUAUUUUGUCAGGCGUGAAAGCCCCGGGCUUAGCCUGGGAACUGCGUUUGAUACGGAUGGGCUAGAGUUCGGGAGAGGAGAGUGGAAUUCCCAGUGUAGAGGUGAAAUUCGUAGAUAUUGGGAAGAACACCGGUGGCGAAGGCGGCGACCUGGUCCUUUACUGACGCUGAGGCGCGAAAGCGUGGGGAGCAAACAGG
rnacentral:rRNA from 1 species